rnacentral:snRNA from 1 species
GGGUGUGAGGGUGAUAUGGCAGUGACAUCUGUCACCCCAUUGGUCAACCAGGGUUGAUUUGGCUGAUCUGACUGGCUAGGCAGAUAUCCCCUUCCUCCCUCACUGCUCUGUGUGCACCCCUCCUAUAGUUGUGCACUCAAAGAGGGUGACCUUCCCGGAUAGAGGAGGGCUGUUCUUCCAUCAAGGGUAUAUGGGAAUUGUGCACCUGUUAGAAACUCUGAACAACCUGUCAAGGUCCAUCCAUAGGAAAAUGUAGGGUAGUCAAGAUUCCAAGACUCCACACACAUCCAAAUGAGGCACUGCCUGUGGCAAUCCGCAUUUUUU